rnacentral:rRNA from 1 species
GCGCAGCAGUCGCGAAACCUUCGCAAUGCGCGAAAGCGCGACGAGGGACUCCGAGUGCCUAUGCUCAGCAUAGGCUGUUCACCGGUGUAAAAGCCGGUGGAGGAAGGGGUGGACAAGACUGGUGCCAGCCGCCGCGGUAAUACCAGCGCCCCAAGUGGUGAUCGAUAUUAUUGGGUCUAAAACGUCCGUAGCCGGCCCGGUAAAUCCCCGGGUAAAUCGUCCAGCUUAACUGGUCGAAUUCUGGGGAGACUGCCGGGCUUGGGACCGGGAGAGGUCGGAGGUACUCCAGGGGUAGGGGUGAAAUCCUGUAAUCCCGUGGGGGACCACCGGUGGCGAAGGCGUCCGACUAGAACGGGUCCGACGGUAAGGGACGAAGGCUAGGGGAGCAAACGGGAUUAGAUACCCGUGUAGU